ACAAACGCUGGCGGCGUGCCUAAUACAUGCAAGUCGAACGAGGUAGCAAUACCAAGUGGCGCACGGGUGAGUAACACGUAGAUAAUCUGCCUUGGAGUGGGGAACAACUCAGCGAAAGCUGAGCUAACACCGCAUGAGACCACAACGUCUGAGGACGAAGGGGUUAAAAAUUUAUUGCUCCAAGAUGAGUCUGCGUCAGAUUAGCUAGUUGGUGAGGUAAUGGCUCACCAAGGCUACGAUCUGUAGCUGGUCUGAGAGGAUGAUCAGCCACACUGGAACUGAGACACGGUCCAGACUCCUACGGGAGGCAGCAGUAGGGAAUAUUGCGCAAUGGGGGAAACCCUGACGCAGCAACGCCGCGUGAGUGAUGAAGGCUUUCGGGUCGUAAAGCUCUGUUGCAAGGGAAAAAGAAAGUGAUUGUACCUUGCGAGAAAGGACCGGCAAACUUCGU
rnacentral:rRNA from 1 species